GACAGAGGGGGCAAGCGUUGUUCGGAUUUACUGGGCGUAAAGGGCGCGUAGGCGGCGCAACAAGUCACUUGUGAAAUCUCCGGGCUUAACCCGGAGCGGCCAAGUGAUACUGUCGUGCUAGAGUGCGGAAGGGGCUACUGGAAUUCUCGGUGUAGCGGUGAAAUGCGUAGAUAUCGAGAGGAACACCUGCGGCGAAGGCGGGUAGCUGGGCCGACACUGACGCUGAGGCGCGAAAGCCAGGGGAGCGAACGGG
rnacentral:rRNA from 1 species